GCUGCUGAGGUCAGAGAGGUUAUUUAAAGGCAUGGUCCAGGAAGAAGAGAGCCACUAGCCAUGCGGUCAUGCGGGUGAAUCUGAAACUGGGAGAGGAGCUUCACCAUCUGAAAUGGGCUCUCUCCUCAUAACCGCAUGCUCAGAGAGUGCCCUGCCUCCAGAGGAAACUCCAACCACCUCUGGAUGAUGCGACCUCCUUGCUUGAACCAACCUCCAGCUGACAGGGGCUAAAGGAAAUUCCCCCCAGGACCAGCAGCAUAAGGACGCUGGACUUCAGACUUUGCCAAACCCAUGCACUGGCAGGCACGAUCCCUUGGGAGGCGCCGGGACCCUGAGCAGAGCGGAUCAGCAGCCUCCCAAGGAAGGGCUUGUAAAGCUGGAGCUGCAGAGACCCUCCCCAGGGAGACGGGGACAGAGCGGCUCCCUGAUGCCUGGGCCGGGCCAGCUGCAGGAGGGGCAGGGCAGGCUGGCGAAGCAGGGGCAGAGCAUGGAGGUGA